rnacentral:rRNA from 1 species
AACGAACGCUGGCGGCAGGCUUAACACAUGCAAGUCGAGCGCCCCGCAAGGGGAGCGGCAGACGGGUGAGUAACGCGUGGGAAUCUACCCAUCUCUACGGAAUAACGCAUGGAAACGCGUGCUAAUACCGUAUACGUCCUUCGGGAGAAAGAUUUAUCGGAGAUGGAUGAGCCCGCGUUGGAUUAGCUAGUUGGUGGGGUAAAGGCCUACCAAGGCGACGAUCCAUAGCUGGUCUGAGAGGAUGAUCAGCCACACUGGGACUGAGACACGGCCCAGACUCCUACGGGAGGCAGCAGUGGGAAUAUUGGACAAUGGGCGCAAGCCUGAUCCAGCCAUGCCGCGUGAGUGAUGAAGGCCCUAGGGUUGUAAAGCUCUUUCACCGGUGAAGAUAAUGACGGUAACCGGAGAAGAAGCCCCGGCUAACUUCGUGCCAGCAGCCGCAGUAACAC